UUAAGCGACUAAGCGUACACGGUGGAUGCCCUGGCAGUCAGAGGCGAUGAAGGACGUGCUAAUCUGCGAUAAGCGUCGGUAAGGUGAUAUGAACCGUUAUAACCGGCGAUUUCCGAAUGGGGAAACCCAGUGUGUUUCGACACACUAUCAUUAACUGAAUCCAUAGGUUAAUGAGGCGAACCGGGGGAACUGAAACAUCUAAGUACCCCGAGGAAAAGAAAUCAACCGAGAUUCCCCCAGUAGCGGCGAGCGAACGGGGAGCAGCCCAGAGCCUGAAUCAGUGUGUGUGUUAGUGGAAGCGUCUGGAAAGGCGCGCGAUACAGGGUGACAGCCCCGUACACAAAAAUGCACAUGCUGUGAGCUCGAUGAGUAGGGCGGGACACGUGGUAUCCUGUCUGAAUAUGGGGGGACCAUCCUCCAAGGCUAAAUACUCCUGACUGACCGAUAGUGAACCAGUACCGUGAGGGAAAGGCGAAAAGAACCCCGGCGAGGGGAGUGAAAAAGAACCUGAAACCGUGUACGUACAAGCAGUGGGAGCCUCUUUAUGGGGUGACUGCGUACCUUUUGUAUAAUGGGUCAGCGACUUAUAUUCUGUAGCAAGGUUAACCGAAUAGGGGAGCCGAAGGGAAACCGAGUCUUAACUGGGCGUUAAGUUGCAGGGUAUAGACCCGAAACCCGGUGAUCUAGCCAUGGGCAGGUUGAAGGUUGGGUAACACUAACUGGAGGACCGAACCGACUAAUGUUGAAAAAUUAGCGGAUGACUUGUGGCUGGGGGUGAAAGGCCAAUCAAACCGGGAGAUAGCUGGUUCUCCCCGAAAGCUAUUUAGGUAGCGCCUCGUGAAUUC
rnacentral:rRNA from 1 species